rnacentral:rRNA from 1 species
UACGGGGGGGGCAAGCGUUGUUCGGAAUUACUGGGCGUAAAGGGCUCGUAGGUGGCCAACUAAGUCAGACGUGAAAUCCCUCGGCUUAACCGGGGAACUGCGUCUGAUACUGGAUGGCUUGAGUUUGGGAGAGGGACGCGGAAUUCCAGGUGUAGCGGUGAAAUGCGUAGAUAUCUGGAGGAACACCGGUGGCGAAGGCGGCGUUCUGGACUGUAACUGACACUGAGGAACGAAAGCCAGGGGAGCAAACGGG